rnacentral:rRNA from 1 species
AUUGAACGCUGGCGGCAGGCUUAACACAUGCAAGUCGAGCGAGCGGCGGACGGGUGAGUAAUGUAUGGGAAACUGCCUGAUGGCGGGGGAUAACUACUGGAAACGGUAGCUAAUACCGCAUACCAUCAGAUGUGCCCAGAUGGGGUGAGCUAGUAGGUGGGGUAAUGGCUCACCUAGGCGACGCUCCCUAGCUGGUCUGAGAGGAUGACCAGCCACACUGGAACUGAGACACGGUCCAGACUCCUACGGGAGGCAGCAGGGGGGAAUAUGGCACAAUGGGCGCAAGCCUGAUGCAGCCAUGCCGCGUGAGUGAAGAAGGCCUUCGGGUUGUAAAGCACUUUCAGCGAGGAGGCGUUAAUCGAAGAAGAAGCACCGGCUAACUCCGGGCCAGCCGCCGCGGUAAUUC